rnacentral:rRNA from 1 species
UACGUAGGGGGCUAGCGUUGUCCGGAAUCAUUGGGCGUAAAGAGCGUGUAGGCGGCUCGGUAAGUCCGCUGUGAAAGUCCAGGGCUCAACCCUGGAAUGCCAGUGGAAACUGUCGAGCUAGAGUCCGGAAGAGGCGAGUGGAAUUCCUGGUGGUAGCGGUGAAAUGCGCAGAUAUCAAGGAGGAACACCAAUGGCGAAGGCAGCUCGCUGGGACGGUACUGACGCUGAGACGCGAAAGCUAGGGGAGCAAACAGG